rnacentral:lncRNA from 1 species
CAAUACAAACACAAAAGCAUAAACGGCACAUUAUAAGCCUUACAACAGUUAUAUGCAACUACUGGCAUAUAAACAAAAUAACUUGAUGAUUCAUCCAUCUUAUGCUCUCGCGCCACUACCUGUAAUACAAAUAAAACUGAGUGGGUCAGGCUUGAGAGCCUAGUGAGCAUAUAGGGUUUUCAAUCCACAAUAAAUAAUUAUAUUUAAUUUCACCAACCAACAAUAACCUGAUUAUCCAUUCCCAUUAUUCUCACUUUACAUCCCUAAAACAACAACUAUCAUAAGGGACCUAAUCUAGGAUUUUUCAUCGGGAUGGACAUUACUACAAAGGGGUUUCCGCAACAAUAGAUGUCCUAAAGGCAACCAUGAGGGGGAUAGAGUACACCGGUGAACACAUCGUUCACAACACCUACAAGUUAUGAACCUGCCAGCGUUCCACUUGACAAUCUAGAAAGAGUCUGUGGUCGUCAUCCAUACUCCGAUAGAUUACUAGACUAACAACAUCAACAUAGAGGCCUCUCAUCAUAUUAUUUCAUCACACAACAACUGUCUACCCAUGUUCUACCUAACAUAUUAGUGGAUAAAAAUAUAUACAUUUAUAUACAGCUUAAAACAUGUACAAAUCAUUCAUUCAACAAUUAUUUCAAAUAAGCAAAUAAUAUACAAACACAUAACAUGUAUUUUGUAGAGAAUACUUCGUAUCUAUUUGUUAGAAGAAAAGGAAUAUACACUCACUUGAUCGGAAGAUGAUUGAACAACACUACGACUCUAAAUGUAGUAUUCUUCGGUGAAACUGGAAGAUCUUCACACACCAUGCUUCUCGCAAGCAGAGCUUCGGCUAGGAAACUCUUUUCUUCUCGGGAUCUUCGGGCUUCGGGACUCGCUUCGGGUCUCGGGAUGAUACCGGGGCUUCGGGAGUAUAACUUGCAAGUAAAUCGAGGUAAUACAGAGUGAGUGAGAGAGGGAGAGAGAGAAAGAGAGAGAAAGGAACAACCAAACCCGGCCGCCCCUUUGAUUUCUAUUUAUAGGGAAAAAAUCCAAAAUUCACGUCAUGAGUUUCAAGUGCUCACGUCAUCAGCUCGAUUAUCAUCCGGUGCGUCACUGCAACUUGCCUGCUCACGUCGUGAGGACCCUGCUCACGUCGUGAGUUCUGACAGACCUCGAAGUUUGUGUUUCAAACUUCAGAAAUUCAAAUCUUUCGCAUACGAGCUCCGUUUUCGACGUUCUUUAUAUCCACGCGUAGGUGAGACUAAUCUCUACAACUUUCAUUUAGACCCGUCGGCUGAUUUUGACUUUAUUUUUAAAGUUAUAUUUUUAAUAGUCCGAGACAGGAAAUGUCCGUUAAAAAUUCAUAAUUCCUUCAUCCGACGUCCGUUUUUGUCUAUCUUUUCACCGUUGGACUACUAUCAACGAGAUCUUCGAUUGUCGUUUAGAUUGUUUCGGCUAGAAACCACUCGAUCUCAUAUUCGAACUUUGGGUUGCAUACCGCUAAGUCGAAACUUCGAAAAAUCAUAACUUACUCAUAUGAAGUCAGAUUUAGACGUUCUUCUUAUGCAUGCUCUCGGUUUAACUUAUUGUACAACUUUCGUUUAGAUCACUAAGGCUAGAUUUCGUUCUAUCUUAAAUUCAUAUUUUACGUCAUUUAGCGUCGUACCGGUUAUGUCGCGAAACUUCGACAGGUCAUAACUUCUUCGUUAUAACUCGGAUUUCAGCAUUCUUUAUAUAUUCGAAAACCUCAUCACGACCACUACCACAUCCUUCAUAGAUAUCAGGUUUAUCUAACAUUUCAUUUUGAUGCUUAUUUUUAUCCUUAAUUCAUUUAAGUCACACAAUUAAGUACAAAACACAUAAUACUCAAAUAAUACAUCUUUAUUAUUUCAAGACGGGUUACAAAGGUUAACCUAGACUAUUACAUCAUCAUUAAUGCCUAGCCUAGAAACACAGGCGUUACAGAAUGGCAUAACUAGAAACUUGUAGUGAUUGUACAUACCGAGUUCUGAAUGUCAUCUUUGGAAUAUCUGUUUCUUGGACUCUGAGUUGAUGAUAGUCGGAUCUUAGAUCGAUCUUUGAGUAGUAACGGGAUCCUUGUAAUUGGUCGAAUAGGUCAUCGAUCCUCGGGAGUGGAUAUCGGUUCUUGAUGGUGAUUUUGUUUAACUCUCGAUAGUCGAUGCAUAUCCUGAACGAUCCAUCCACCUAUUUUGCAACAAUAUUGUAGCUCCUCAUGGAGAGAAGCUUUGCCGGAUAAAACUUUUGUCAAGAAUUUAUUGGAGUUCACUAGGUAGUUCUUGCAUUUCUGAUAGAGCCAGGCGAUAAGGAGAUCUUGCCACUGGUGUUGUACCCAGGAUCAUGUCGGUUUGGAGUUCGACCUAUCUAACUAGAGGUACUCUAGGAAUUACAUUCGGGUAACCGCACACUACAAAAUGUCUUUGAUUUCCUUAUCCUUGUCUUGCAUAUCCACCACGUGGGCCAAGAAAGCGAAGCGUCUCUUCUGCAUACACCUUCUUGCCUUCAUGAAAGAGAUGGUUCUUAGAUUCUUUCCUGAUUUGCCUCUGUAGUUCACAAGGGCUUCAUUGUUGGGUAAUGGUAUUCAGACGACUUUUUUGUGAUGUAAAAUAUGUGUUUGAUGAAGUGAUAACCAAUCUAUUCCAAUGAUCACAUCGAGACUUCCAAUGGUCAUAGGUAUUAGGUUGACAUGAAAUACGUAGUUAUCCAUGGCCUUUCUACAAAACUUAGAGGCGUGACCUCUUAAGUUAUAGAUGUUGCAAACCAUGCAAUUUCUGACACGGUGAAAAUUGCCCUUGGUAAAGUGGGGUAAAGUCCUAGAGUAGCGCUUUGAUUGAGUAGGAUCGUUUAUGAUUAUAGGGUACAAAACCAUAGGUUUUGGAUUGGGUUUGUGGUGAUUGAAGUUCCCUUUUGACUUGCCAUGGAACUUCCUUUUUUCAUUCCCAAUCUAGUUCUUUUCGGUUUGUGAGGUUAUGGCACCCUAACGGAUACACUACUCAGUCAAUUGAUAGGCAAACUGCUUGGCAUUAUCAAAGAUAGUGGGUCUGGAUGCAGUAACCAGACCUUCAACUAGUGGAGUUAAUCCCCAGAUGUACCCUUCGGUAUUUUUGUAUUUUAGGUUCACCAUUCCUGGGCAAAGGUUUGUGAGGUCGUUAAAUCGAGAGGUGUAAGCAGUCCUCUCCAAUCCUUUCGUGGUAAAGUUCCAAAUUAUAUAUAGUGAUUGAUUCUAGAAAUCCUAUAGAUUUCCAAAUUACAGAGAGAUAAUUGAAAUCCUACCGAUUCCAAAUGAUANNNNNNNNNNNNNNNNNNNNNNNNNNNNNNNNNNNNNNNNNNNNNNNNNNNNNNNNNNNNNNNNNUAUAUAUAUAUAUAGAGAGAGAGAGAGAGAGAGAGACAGAGAGAGAGAGAGAGAGAGAAAAGUUUGGAGACUACUGAAUGAUUGAUUGGGAAUUAUGGGUUUCUCCGCUAUGACGGUAGCAGAGCUAUUCAUUAUUUGUUCUUCUUUGGAUUUGGAAAAACUUGGAAAAUCUGAAUGACAUCCCCUAUUUUUAAGUAUUUUUAAAAUGUAUAUGUUGUUUUGGGGUUGAUAUAAGGUUUCUAAGGUACUAAGUUUCUGCAGCGAAUCUUGAGAACAUCCUUCAAUCUCUAAAACUUUCAACCAUUGUAGUCUGUGAAACUCCUUGCUCCAGGUUGGUUGUUCGCCGACCCGACCAUAAAUAACAUAGGUGUACGUUCCAGGUUUAUUUAUGGUAUGACUUAUGUACGAUACUAACUUUAAUUAAGGCGUUUGACCUAAAGGGUUGAGUUGGUAGCUUUAGUUGGAGGCAUGUUAGAAUUUUAUUAAGUGUUCUCAUUGCAGGUCAGAGUAUAUAUAACUCUUACAUAUUAUUGUUGGUGGGUUUGGAGUAUUAUUAAAUUUUGUUUUGUACUCUAAGACUACCAAUUACAGACGAAGGCCAGAUAUGAAACACCGGAGGGCAAGACCGUUUUAACAAUUAAGCUGUUCUUACAUCCAACAACCAAGCGACAUUUCAAACCAGAAUCCCCUUAUCGUAAGUAGCCAAUAAGUAGUGUACUUGAUAUUAAUAGUACUUUUAUUUAAAAUGUAGUUUCUAUAGUUGUAUUCACCUUUUUGAGGAUACGAGUUCUCUAUAGCCAAUUUAGCUCUGAUACCAAUCUGUCACACCCCCGGCCGAGGCGGCAGAACAUGUCGGGUUGUGCGACUAAGUUCAUAGAUCACAUGCAAAUUGAAUAUAUUGCAAAAGUACAACAAUAAAAAAAUAGCAUUCAUGUUCCAUCUUGAUAUUUAGUACAAUGUUUUUACAAAUAACAAUAAUACAUGAAUUGCCUUAACAGAUAGGCAUAUGAUACAACAAGUAAACUAGGUCACCUGUAAUCAAAUCUGUCUUGAAUGUCUGUUUAAAGAUUUCUUGAGAAUACAUGUAGUUUUGAGGGUCAACAAAAGGUUGACGAGUGUUACAGGUUUUCUGCUACUGCAGUAAUACUUUUAAUAAGUCUAAAAAGUAUUAUCUUUGUAUGUAUAACAAUAGUUAAAACAAUGUUUGCAAUGAGUCUUUAAAAGCCCAAAAUGUAUUUCGGUGUAAGUAAAUCUAUACUUUAAAAUGUGUUUGUAAUAAAUCCUUAAAAUCCAAAAUGUAUCUUUUGUAUAAGUAAAUACAUACUUUAAACUGUGUUCGUAAUAACCUUUGAAUAUUCUUGAAAACCAAACUGUUAUGUUACAUAAGUAAUUUCAUACUUAAAAAUAGUUUUGAAAGCAACUAAGCCCAUGGUUGUUAGUGAGAGAGAGAUAUUCUAGUUAAUGUUUUUAGUGAGUCCUAGAACCGAACUACCUAACUGAAUGUACCCCCUACAACGCUUCAUUGGACGUUGUACUAACAAUGGUAGAUACUUAUCACCCGCUUCGAUUAACCGGUCGAGAGUUGUAGCUAGCAACCACAGGUGGGGAUGUCAACCCCGUAUAGAUCUAUACAUAUGUAUCUCGCUCUGAAGAUUAACGAUUACAAUAUUGUGGGUAUGCUAAGUAUUUAAACUCAGCUAAUGAAUAAUGUCCUACUAAAAAAACCCUUAACUAAAAAAAGUUUAUGAAGAACUCUCGACCCAAACUUAAUUGUGAUUGGGUCAGUAGACAUAAUGAAUAUCGUUGUCUAGAGUUUAUAAAAGCCGAGUAUGUUUGAUAUGUAUGUAAAAGUGUAAUGUACUCGCUUUUAUAAAGAUGUAUGUUUCGAAGUAAUGAAGACAUGUACAUGUAUAAACGUUAUGUAUUUAAACAUAUAAAUAAACAUGCACAAUAAUAGUUUGAAUCCUUGAAAUACUACAAAAUUGACAAUGUCACAUAAAAAUCAUAUAUUUUAUAUCAUGUAGUAUUUUUUUGUGUGAACUAGUUAUUUCACGAUAAAAUAACCAUAAUACGUAUACGGAAAGUUUAUGCUAGUUUAUCUGUAACAAUAUGGUAAAUUGUUAAAUAAUAAUAUUUUUAUAAACUAGAAUUAUUGUAUUUUCGCAUAAAAAGAAAAUUGAUUUGUAUAACCAAAAUAUNAAAAUAUUUAGGUACAUGUGUUCCCCUCCGAAAUAAUUAAAAUAUUAAAAAGGGGUCGAAAGCACUCACUUUUGUAACGUGAACGAGGCUCGCGUUGUGAAACUUUUCAUGAAAGUUGUUACGUGACGUUCCUUGUCUUAAAGCGAACCACCGACUAUAUUUAUAUUUCCUAAUAAACCAAAGGGGUAGUUUUGAUAUUAAUUAUUAAGUAUAUGGUGGUCCUUGUUAAAAUAAAUAGACUCUAGAGUUUGAUUUUGCCAAAAUCAUACUUCAGGGACUAAUAUUGCGAAUUAUUCCCAUAACAGGGGUUAAACAUGUGCAUUUGAAUCUGAUUUGGAGCUCCAGGACUUAUUCUGUUAGGGUUUUCAGAUGGAGGGGUUGUUUCUGGAUAAAUUGAAUCACUUUUUUGGGAUUGGGACCUAUUUGAAUAAAUAAUUUAACAGUGGGGGUAGUUUAGUCAUUUCAUAAUUAAAAAUGCCUUAGGGUUUUAAGUCCCGUGUUUAAUGGUCCACUUAAAAGGAAUUAGGGCUUUACCCCGUUUCUUUUGUUCUGAUCGGGCAUCUGAAGCAAAGGUGAUACGAAUCGUUCAAGGAAGUCACGAGGGAAACAGAUGAACGGGAGAAACACGAAGGGAAUCAAGCAUUUGCCGCCGGUCGAUGAUUGAUCGUGAAGAAGGUAGAGCGCGCCGGCAGGCGAGAAGGAGGCACGAAGAUGGCUGCGAGGUCCGAUAGAUUUCGAUCGGUUGCAGGCUGAGGUUGCGUUUCCGAUGUUUCGGUCGAUCCGAAGGAAGAGAAGAGACGGCAGCAGAGGGUUCUCUCUUUCCCGUCCGGCUGCUAGAUGCGAGGAAAGAUGAGGUCCGAAGAGACGUAGGUAAGAGAAGCGAGCCGUGCUUUUCUCGUCCGACUGCGAGGUGUGAUGAGCGGCGUCGCAAACAGCGGUAGCAACAAGAGGAUACCCUUGAAGCUCUGUGGUUGACGGGAAUCGUAGAGAAGGAAAACGAAGGGAAAAGGCUCGAUCCUUGUCUGGCCGGUCCAAGAGAGAUGGAAACGAUCGCAGGUAUGCGAUUUGUUGAAGAAAAAGGGGUAACCGGAGGCAGUCAAGGUUUCGGUGGUGCUGGAUCGCUGGCACCGGUGAUGGAGUUCGGUACCAACUGAAGCUAUAAUGGUGAUCGGAAGUGAACCAGGUGGUGGUGGCUAGGAUUUUUCAACAACAGCAGCAGUCGUCGGUCAAGAGAAAGAGGUCGGGGGAUAAGAGGGGGCUGGCGCCUCCGGUGUUUGCUCCGGGGAAAUAUAGAGGGUAGAGGGAACAUUGAGUGGGUGAUAGAGGGGAGAGCUUCGGCAACAACAGUGGGGGCAGGUUGAAGAAAGAGUGCAGGUUAUAUUUUUAUGGGUUCCAGCUGGAUUUGUACAAUUGUGUUGGAGUGUUGUAUUGCCUAAUCCCUUUGAGUGUGUAAGUCAUCAAAACAAAAUGUAGAAGUAAUUUAUUUAUUUAUUUGUAUUUGGUGUGAAAUUUGGAAUUAUGAAUUUUUCCAUCUAUUAUGUGUAUAUUUUGUGUAUUUAGCUGUAUAUUUGAUCCAAUGGAUAUGUAUUGGUGUAUGUAUUCUUGAGAAAUUACAUAGGUUCAAUAAUUAUGUUUUUUGUGUAUGAAUUCAUGCAUUAUUUAAAAAAGGGAUAAU